GUGCCCGUAGCUCAGUGGAUAGAGCGUCAGGUUGCGGACCUGAAGGUCGGAGGUUCGAGUCCUCUCGGGCACGCCA
rnacentral:tRNA from 2 species